GGGACUGCGCGUGCUUACCAUGCAAGUCGAACGAUGAACCACUUCGGUGGGGAUUAGUGGCGAACGGGUGAGUAACACGUGGGCAAUCUGCCCUUCACUCUGGGACAAGCCCUGGAAACGGGGUCUAAUACCGGAUAACACCUUCCCUCUCCUGAGGGAAGGUUAAAAGCUCCGGCGGUGAAGGAUGAGCCCGCGGCCUAUCAGCUUGUUGGUGAGGUAAUGGCUCACCAAGGCGACGACGGGUAGCCGGCCUGAGAGGGCGACCGGCCACACUGGGACUGAGACACGGCCCAGACUCCUACGGGAGGCAGCAGUGGGGAAUAUUGCACAAUGGGCGAAAGCCUGAUGCAGCGACGCCGCGUGAGGGAUGACGGCCUUCGGGUUGUAAACCUCUUUCAGCAGGGAAGAAGCGAAAGUGACGGUACCUGCAGAAGAAGCGCCGGCUAACUACGUGCCAGCAGCCGCGGUAAUACGUAGGGCGCAAGCGUUGUCCGGAAUUAUUGGGCGUAAAGAGCUCGUAGGCGGCUUGUCACGUCGGUUGUGAAAGCCCGGGGCUUAACCCCGGGUCUGCAGUCGAUACGGGCAGGCUAGAGUGUGGUAGGGGAGAUCGGAAUUCCUGGUGUAGCGGUGAAAUGCGCAGAUAUCAGGAGGAACACCGGUGGCGAAGGCGGAUCUCUGGGCCAUUACUGACGCUGAGGAGCGAAAGCGUGGGGAGCGAACAGGAUUAGAUACCCUGGUAGUCCACGCCGUAAACGGUGGGAACUAGGUGUUGGCGACAUUCCACGUCGUCGGUGCCGCAGCUAACGCAUUAAGUUCCCCGCCUGGGGAGUACGGCCGCAAGGCUAAAACUCAAAGGAAUUGACGGGGCCCGCACAAGCAGCGGAGCAUGUGGCUUAAUUCGACGCAACGCGAAGAACCUUACCAAGGCUUGACAUACACCGGAAAGCAUCAGAGAUGGUGCCCCCCUUGUGGUC
rnacentral:rRNA from 1 species